UGUGGUUAAAUUCUUUGAGCUUUACUUGUGAUUCUGUUUGAAUCUUCUAAGUUUAGAAGAUAAAACAUAUAGAUAACUUAUCAGUUUUCUGACCUUAUAAAGCGAGAAAACAGAAUGAUUUUGUGACAUCUUCUUAGUCUUAGUUCAAGCUGAAAACGAGCUAGGCACACCUUGCUAGCUAUCUUGUUAGGAAAAUAAGUAGGUUAUGUAUGUCUUGGAGAUUUGCAACCCAUUAUUUCUUGCUUUGUGCCUGAUUUAUCUUUACAAACAAAGGUACAAUUUCUAAAAAGAGUGACUCUACAGUCCUUUUUCAAACUUUGCUAAUUUCUCGAGUUGCUGAUGUUUUAUUAGAUUUAUACUAAAAUUUCCCGUGUGAUACUAUUAUUACGAGCUGGCAAGCAAAUAUGUUCUCCAUGAUCGAUUUUUACUCCUUGACAUGUUUUCUUCACUACCGUAUUCUUCUUUUCCUAAAUAUUUGAUUUGCUGCAUUUGAGCUCUACCUCCUCAAGGUAGGGGUAAGGUUUGCGUAUACUUACCCUCUCCAAAUCCCACUUGUGGGAUUACUACCGUAUUCUCCUUUUCCUAAAUAUUUGAUUUGCUGCAUUUGAGCUCUAUCUCCACAAGGUAGGGGUAAGGUUUGCAUAUACUUACCCUCUCCAAAUCCCACUUGUGGGAUUACAUUGGAUAUGUUUUUGUUGUUGAUCAAUUUUAACUUCACGAGCUGGCUGAUUUUCUUUCUAUUUUAGUUCCGUCUAAAGUAGCCAUCCAGAGUAGCAAGUGGUGCAAGAGCUCAUAAUAUAAAACAUUGUUGAAUCUGGAGUCUUAAAGCUUUGGUUGAUAUUCUAUUUGCUUCCCACUUUAUGACACAAUUCAUAUACACUGGGAGCUCCAUGAAAUUUUCAAAGCCAAAGGCUACUGAGCCCUGUAGUAACACUGAACAACAACUUAGGGAAGAAGGGGUGUUAGGGGCUUACAUUCACCAGCGCAGACUAAAAGUGCUCUCCGAACCGUGCUGGAUAGUCAAGUCACUUGCCACGUGCUGGAUAGUCAAGUCACUUGCCAGGAGGGAAAGCAGCAGAUAAUCCGUUGUUCCUCAGUAGAUCAGUGGUAGAGCAGUGGUAGAGCGGUCGACUGUUAACCGAUUGGUCGUUCAUUUGCUAAAUCAAUAGUAUCUGAAAAUGGAACAAUUGAGUUUGCUAAGAGGUUUUGGAUACGAGAUAUGCAAAAGUGGCCUUAGCCGGUGAUUUGGGCUCUUUCCCUCUCGCGCAUUAGAGCAAUAGUAAAGUUAUCUUUGCAUGAGUUCUAGGUCACUAUUCAAGCUUUGGAAUCCGCCAGAUUGCCACGGAUGCAUACUUCAGGUGUGGCCCUUCUACGGACCCUGCAUGAACGCGGGAUGCUUGUGCACCAACCGCCUUUCUUAUGCACUUCUGGCUCCACUACAAUAUUUAAUUGGAUUCUGAUCACAUAAUUUUCCCACCCACCAGGCCACCACUCAUAAUGUAUAUGUUGCAUAUACUUGCACUAAAUAUACAUAUAAUAUACAUGCUAUACACAAGAUAUAUGUAACUGUAUAUAUCCGUAACUUUCCUUGUUUUUUUUUUAUAUAAACUUGACUUCUUAGGUUCAUAAUAGUAUGUUAGAAUACUUCCAACAUUUGUAAAGAUGUCACUAUUACAAGCUUCUAGGUUCACUUGAUUGAUUGGUAUCUAGAUGUUUCGUCUA